rnacentral:rRNA from 1 species
UACGAAGGGUGCAAGCGUUAAUCGGAAUUACUGGGCGUAAGGGGUGCGUAGGCGGUUGGUUAAGUCUGUCGGGAAAUCCCCGGGCUCAACCUGGGAAUGGCGAUGGAUACUGGCGAGCUAGAGUGUGUCAGAGGAUGGUGGAAUUCCCGGUGUAGCGGUGAAAUGCGUAGAGAUCGGGAGGAACAUCAGUGGCGAAGGCGGCCAUCUGGGACAACACUGACGCUGAAGCACGAAAGCGUGGGGAGCAAACAGG